GAUGAACGCUAGCGGCAGGCCUAAUACAUGCAAGUCGAACGGGAUCCAGAUCAAAGCUUGCUUUGGUCUGGUGAGAGUGGCGCACGGGUGCGUAACGCGUGAGCAACCUACCCUUGUCAGGGGGAUAGCCCGGCGAAAGUCGGAUUAAUACCGCAUGACAUCAUUGAGAGGCAUCUUUCGAUGAUCAAAGAUUUAUCGGACAAGGAUGGGCUCGCGUGACAUUAGCUCGUUGGUAAGGUAACGGCUUACCAAGGCUGCGAUGUCUAGGGGCUCUGAGAGGAGAAUCCCCCACACUGGUACUGAGACACGGACCAGACUCCUACGGGAGGCAGCAGUAAGGAAUAUUGGUCAAUGGACGGAAGUCUGAACCAGCCAUGCCGCGUGCAGGAGGACGGCCCUAGGGGUUGUAAACUGCUUUUAUACGGGAACAAACGUCGGUACGUGUACCGGUCUGAGUGUACCGUAAGAAUAAGGAUCGGCUAACUCCGUG
rnacentral:rRNA from 1 species